UACGAAGGGGGCUAGCGUUGUUCGGAAUCACUGGGCGUAAAGGGCGCGUAGGCGGCUUUAUAAGUCGGGGGUGAAAGCCUGUGGCUCAACCACAGAAUUGCCUUCGAUACUGUAGAGCUUGAGACCGGAAGAGGUAAGUGGAACUGCGAGUGUAGAGGUGAAAUUCGUAGAUAUUCGCAAGAACACCAGUGGCGAAGGCGGCUUACUGGUCCGGUUCUGACGCUGAGGCGCGAAAAGCUAGGGGAGCAAACGGGG
rnacentral:rRNA from 1 species